rnacentral:rRNA from 1 species
CAGUAGCCACGGUAAUACGUAGGUGGCAAGCGUUGUCCGGAAUUAUUGGGCGUAAAGGGCUCGCAGGCGGUUUCUUAAGUCUGAUGUGAAAGCCCCCGGCUCAACCGGGGAGGGUCAUUGGAAACUGGGAAACUUGAGUGCAGAAGAGGAGAGUGGAAUUCCACGUGUAGCGGUGAAAUGCGUAGAGGUGUGGAGGAACACCAGUGGCGAAGGCGACUCUCUGGUCUGUAACUGACGCUGAGGAGCGAAAGCGUGGGGAGCGAACAGGAUUAGAUACCCGUGUAGUCCCUGUCUCUUAUAC